CCCGGGCCUUGUACACACCGCCCGUCACACCAUGGGAGUCGUUUGCUCCAGAAAGUGCCUAGGCCAACCCCUAAAAAGGAGGCAGGGCCCCAAGGAGUGACCGGUAACUGGGGUG
rnacentral:rRNA from 1 species